CAGCCGCCGCGGGAAUACGAGGGGGGCAAGCGUUGUUCGGAAUUAUUGGGCGUAAAGGGUGCGUAGGCGGUUUGAUAAGUCUUGUGUGAAAUCUAUGGGCUCAACCCAUAGUCUGCUCAGGAAACUGUAGGGCUUGAGAGUGGGAGAGGUGAGUGGAAUUUCCGGUGUAGCGGUGAAAUGCGUAGAUAUCGGAAGGAACACCUGUGGCGAAAGCGGCUCACUGGACCAUUUCUGACGCUGAUGCACGAAAGCUAGGGGAGCAAACAGGAUUAGAUACCCGCGUAGUCCCUGUCUCUUAUAC
rnacentral:rRNA from 1 species